rnacentral:rRNA from 1 species
UACGUAGGGUGCAAGCGUUGUCCGGAAUUAUUGGGCGUAAAGAGCUCGUAGGCGGUCUGUCGCGUCGGAUGUGAAAAUCCAGGGCUUAACCCUGGGCCUGCAUUCGAUACGGGCAGACUAGAGUUCGGUAGGGGAGACUGGAAUUCCUGGUGUAGCGGUGAAAUGCGCAGAUAUCAGGAGGAACACCGGUGGCGAAGGCGGGUCUCUGGGCCGAUAUCGACGCUGAGGAGCGAAAGCGUGGGGAGCGAACAGG